CAGUGCCACGGGAAUACGGAGGGUGCAAGCGUUAAUCGGAAUUACUGGGCGUAAAGCGCACGCAGGCGGUCUGACAAGUCAGAUGUGAAAUCCCCGGGCUUAACCUGGGAACUGCAUUUGAAACUGUCAGGCUGGAGUCUUGUAGAGGGGGGUGGAAUUCCAGGUGUAGCGGUGAAAUGCGUAGAGAUCUGGAGGAAUACCGGUGGCGAAGGCGGCCCCCUGGACAAAGACUGACGCUCAGGUGCGAAAGCGUGGGGAGCAAACAGGAUUAGAUACCCGCGUAGUCCCUGUCUCUUAUACC
rnacentral:rRNA from 1 species